AUACGGAGGGUCCAAGCGUUAUCCGGAAUCAUUGGGUUUAAAGGGUGCGCAGGCGGUUUAUUAAGUCAGUGGUGAAAUCUCGGGGCUCAACUCCGAAACUGCCAUUGAUACUGAUAAACUUGAGUUCAGUUGGAGUAGGCGGAAUGUGUAGUGUAGCGGUGAAAUGCUUAGAUAUUACACAGAACACCGAUAGCGAAGGCAGCUUACUAAACUGAUACUGACGCUGAGGCACGAAAGCGUGGGGAGCGAACAGGAGUAGAUACCCUAGUAGUCC
rnacentral:rRNA from 1 species